UGCGCAAUGGGCGAAAGCCUGACGCAGCGACGCCGCGUGGAGGANGACGGUUUUCGGAUUGUAAACUCCUUUUCUGGAGGAAGANAAUGGACGGUACUCCAGGAAUAAGCCUCGGCUAACUACGUGCCAGCAGCCGNCGGUAAUAU
rnacentral:rRNA from 1 species